AAUACCAUCUAUAAAAUGUUCUGCCAAAAAACCUCACUGAUCAGACAACCCAUACACAGGACAUAUGGGGCAGUGAAACCUGUCAAAUAACACCAGAGGGAUGCAAUCAGCUAAAUCCAGAAUGUGGAAAAUGAUAUAGGAAAAAUACUUUGUUUCCUUCAACAAAGAAAUUGCAAGAGGAAAAAAAAGGAGGAGAAAUCUAAAGAUUAAAAGAGACUUCAGAUAUAUUAAUCAAUGGUAAGGUGUGGACUUUAUUUGAAUCCUGAUAUGAAGAAACUGACAGGGGAAAAAAAGUAUGAAACAAUUGGAGAAAUUUUAAUACCAAGGAUGGUGCCUGAGGAUUUUAUUCUUAAAUUACCCUACAUCCAAGAUAUUGGUUCAGAAGAUUCUGGUUGCAUAUGUUCCUUUUUGAAUAACUGGAUCGUGACUGUAGAAGAGUGAUUCUGAAAGUACGGUUCAGGGACAUCUGGGGGCCCUGAAGGCUUGAAAGAGGUGCAUGAGACCAGAAUUAUUUUUUAAAUAAAAAGGUUCUGUUUGC